GGGAGGGUCGGAUCAAAUAUACCCAACGCCUGAGCUUGUUUAACUGCCAGUUUUGCCUGUUGGAAAGCAUCCUGUUCUAUCUUUCCCCAAUUCCAUGAUUGACCCUUCUUUGUAAGCUUGUAUAAUGGCCUUAAUAGCUGAGCUAAAUGAGGUAUAAAGGAGCGCCAAUACCCCAAUAUACCCAAACAUUCUUGCAAUUGUUUUGAUGUUGUAGGGACUGGAAACGCUUGGACUUUAUCUACUACCGCACUGGGUAGUACUUUGGUUUUCCCGGACCAAAUUACUCCCAGGAAUUUUACAGAUAGCCCCGGACCUUGCACCUUCUGUGGGUUUAUUCUGAAAUUUUUGUUCAUCCUUCAGUUGCUUCCACAACUGAAGGAGAACCUGAUUGGGCUGCCCAUCAAUUUUUGAAAACUGAACGCCUGCCCGGAGCAGAUCAUUAAACAUUUGUUUCCGGGAUACCCUAACAGGUCCUGCCCGAGAAGUUCGCGGGGCCGAUCUUCUGGCUCGCACUAUUGGAAAAGCCUCGGCAUCCUCAAUCACCCUGAUAUUGCGCUUAGCUCGUAAACGCUCAGUUUCUCCGAGGUCUGCUACCAAUUGGGCGGCUUGUUGGACUACUGCCUCUGCGGAUACUACUGGAUUAAGUAUGGAAACCAAGGUUCCAUACAUAUGAGAGGGUGCUUACUGUAAAAUUAGGUCCCUCAUUCCCGCAGAAAAUUUAACCAUAUCAGGGCUAUCGAAUGUGUCUUCGUAGAUAGCCUCUCUCAUACCUAAUUCGCGUAUAUAAUUUUGAAGGUCUUCCAUAGAAGACCACAUCCCUGUGUUUACUGGCAUGUCAGUUUUAUUUGUCCACACCAUGCGGCAAGCAGCCAUUAUCCAUUCUACAAUUGAAUGGUUUUCUUCAGGGAACUGAGUCCCAGCAUACAGUCUCUGCCGAAGGGCAGGAUGUACUGUUAUUGUGGCCAACUUAGAUACUUCGGGGCCACUAACCAGUACACUAUCUGCCCCUGAAUCCCAUAACCGUAAUAACCAAGCCGGAACACUUUCCCUUGGCCUUUGCCUAAAUCGUUGCACUAGGUC
rnacentral:lncRNA from 1 species